rnacentral:piRNA from 1 species
GGAGGAGAAUGGUCUGAAGUAAGUAGCU